UACGAAUGUGGCAAGCGUUGUUCGGAAUCACUGGGCGUAAAGAAUGCGUAGGCGGCUUAACAAGUCAGGAGUGAAAUCCCAGGGCUUAACCCUGGAACUGCUUCUGAAACUGUUUUGCUAGAGUCCCGGAGGGGUUGGCGGAAUUCCGAGUGUAGAGGUGAAAUUCGCAGAUAUUCGGAGGAACACCAGUGGCGUAGGCGGCCAACUGGACGGGAACUGACGCUGAGGCAUGAAAGUGUGGGGAUCAAACAGG
rnacentral:rRNA from 1 species